rnacentral:lncRNA from 1 species
AGGGGAAUGUCAUACUCUAAGAUCAAAGACUUUGGAAAUUAAAAUCUUUGUCAACUCUUACUGGCAUAUUGCUUAUUAGACGGACCAUGGGCUAUCAUUUUCUCUUUUUCUUCUUCUUUUUUUUAAGUGGAUACCGAGGUAUCCCUAAUUCUACUGUUGGACACUUGUCCAUUUUUUCUGCGAGGUUGUCGAGAACUUGCUCCUUUUUAUUUCCUCGAAAUAUCUCUAUUUUUGCAUAGCCCAUGCCUCUAAUGCAAUAAUACUUCGGAAGAGUGAAUCUUUCUGAAUAAAUGUCUUGAUCUUAGGAGCAUGAUAAAUCUCUCAACAAGGGUCUAACUCAUUUUGAACAAACUCAAUACAGAGUAGAUAGCUUUUAUAAUCAUAAUUAAUAUUUUUAGUUUUAUCAGGCAUAUAAAACACUGAGGAUG